UCGAACCGCUGGAUCUCGGUUCGGAUCGCGGCCGAAUUGGCCAGGUGCUGCUGGUAGUUCAUGUUGCAGUGGGGGGGUCGAUCGCUCCUUAAGAUCUCCCCAACAAUAAAACCACUGGCCAAGAAAAUCCACACAAUAUCACAGGGGAGAGACUAAAUAACGGGUGUGGAAUCCGACUACCACGGGAUACUCUGGUGUGUUGUCGCCUUGUGCGGAACGCCACUCAUCUAGUGGCCGCUGCUGGGCGCCAGGAGUCCCGACCCACCGAACCGAGGGGGUCCCACUCAGUCCUGGAGAAGAGACAGAUGCUCACCGCGUCCCCACAUCCCUGCUACGGGCCACACGGGGACCAUGUCAAACACACACUCAGGCUUUCUUUUCUGGUGUGUCGCAGUCCGCAUUAAAAGGCUGUUGGUUACUCACAGACAUGUAUCAUCACAAUGUUUAGGACGAGGAGCAAUGGAUGGAAAGGCCUCCCUCCUAGGUGGCUAGCUAGUCGGGGAGCUAAUGCUAACAAGCUGGCGCGUUCGAGCCGGGUGGGUGAGCAAAAAACUCGGGAAAAUCUCCACCCCCGGAAAGUGUCCUUAAAAAGACAAGAGCGGCUCGUUCCCACGCGAGGACGGGUGACAGCGGCUGCCAACCGGUUCAAGGACGAAUCAAACCCGAUCCACCGUUGAUUUCAGCCAGGGAAGGUGGGGAAUCUAAACACGGAGUCGGAGCCUCACCCAGCACCACCCUGAAGUCCUCUCCAUCCACCUUCAGGAUCCAGGUGGUGGUGACCUUUGCCCUGUCGUGGCGGAACUUCUCCAGGCUCUUGCCGCCGAUCUCCAGCGAGUACUCGUAGGAGAAGCCGGUGACUGCCUCGAUGUUGACGCAGGCUCUGGUGUGAGCGCGGCCCACCGUGAACGCCUCCCUCCCCACCAGCUUGAACAUCCAGUCCCUUCGGACCACUUCCUGUCAAAGGAGGCAUUGAACCACAGGCCCCGACUUGAGUUCCCCGAGCUGGGAUGGAUAGCCCUGUCCUGUCAACGGGGGACAAAGGACCCCUCUGGCCCCCUUUUUACGCUGUGCCUCGGAAUGCAUUGCAACUUUCUGACUCCACAAUUCAAUUGACA